rnacentral:rRNA from 1 species
AGAGUUUGAUCAUGGCUCAGAUUGAACGCUGGCGGUAUGCUUAACACAUGCAAGUCGAACGGCAGCGCGGAGUGCUUGCACUCUGGCGGCGAGUGGCGGACGGGUGAGUAAUACAUAGGAAUCUACCUAGAGGUGCGGAACAACCUGGGGAAACUCAGGCUAAUACCGCGUACGCCCUACGGGGGAAAGUGGGGGAUCUUCGGACCUCACACCUUUGGAUGAGCCUAUGUUGGAUUAGCUUGUUGGUGAGGUAAAGGCUCACCAAGGCGACGAUCCAUAGCUGGUCUGAGAGGAUGAUCAGCCACACUGGGACUGAGACACGGCCCAGACUCCUACGGGAGGCAGCAGUGGGGAAUAUUGGACAAUGGGGGCAACCCUGAUCCAGCAAUACCGCGUGUGUGAAGAAGGCCUGCGGGUUGUAAAGCACUUUCAGUGAGGAGGAAGGCUUGAAGGUUAAUACCCUUCAAGAUUGACGUUACUCACAGAAGAAGCACCGGCUAACUCUGUGCCAGCAGCCGCGGUAAUACAGAGGGUGCAAGCGUUAAUCGGAAUUACUGGGCGUAAAGAGUGCGUAGGUGGCUAAAUAAGUUAGGUGUGAAAUCCCCGGGCUCAACCUGGGAACUGCGCUUAAAACUGUUUAGCUAGAGUGUUGUAGAGGAAAGUAGAAUUUCCGGUGUAGCGGUGAAAUGCGUAGAUAUCGGAAGGAAUACCAGUGGCGAAGGCGACUUUCUGGACAUUCACUGACACUGAGGCACGAAAGCGUGGGGAGCAAACAGGAUUAGAUACCCUAGUAGUCC